UUUGUGAAUCACUGCCCAGUGGGACUUCAACUCAAUCGUACAUGAGUUGUGACUGAUGCUUUUGAAUAUUGGUGUGGAGAGCUUGCAUGAAAUUGUAUACACUUCUUAAUAAACCCCAUACUGCACCACUUCAUCAGGGUCCACACUUUUUCACAGAGAGAGUUUGAUGUGCUGUCAAAGCUCCUGUUUGCUGGCUGUAAUGUUUUUGCUUAAUGAAGAUUAAGGAUUGUUACUGAUUUUCUCUUUAAAAAGCCUCCUUCUGAGCCAAAGCUGACAGGGUGAUGGGCUGACCUUCUUCCAGAGUGUUGCCUAGGAGACGACAGGUUAUCGCUGAACAUUGAGAGUUCGCGAAGGCCAUUGACAAGGUGCCACACACGAGGUUGCUUAACGAGCUAUGAGCCCAUGAGAUGAAAAGAAAGAUUCUCGCAUGGAUAAAGCAGUGGCUGAUUGGCAAGAAGCAAGAAGUGUGAACAAGGGGAGCCUUUUCUGACUGGCUGCUGGUGACUAGUGAUGUUCCACAGAGGUGCUGCCAAAUGUUUCCAGCACACUGUUUAAUUUCAGGCUGUUCACCCCUCGGAUGUAAGGGCAUCAAAGGUUAUGGGAAGAAGUCAGGAGAACAGGGUUGGAAGGGAAAAUAAAUCAGCCAUGAUCAAAUAGUAGAGUAGACUAGUUCUGCUUCAAUGUCUUACGGUCCAAUGUGUCUCUCUGAGACUGCCUAUUCCUACCUUUCUAACAAUGCUUGACUCCAUCCCCUACUUCAGCUUAUCAGCUGCCAAAAUCCUCACCAUGCCUUGGCUAUCUGUGGAUGAUGAUUCCAGCCCACUUGGGUCCAGCUUCCAUUUCCACUUUUUGUAAAGCUGAGCUCAUCCAUGCCCUAACACUUGCACACCAUCCUGUGCUCACUGGCCCAUGCCAGCUCCCAGUUAAACCAUGCCCUGAAAUUCUCACCCUCUUCAUAUCCCUCUGCAAUCUUGCCCCUCUUUGCCCCUGUGCCUCCUCCUGCCUCACAGCCAUCCGAGAUCCCCAGUUUGGACUGCCCCCGAUCAUAUACAAAUCCCACCCCCCAUCCUCAUCACAUUCUACAGGGGUCGUAUUGAGAGCAUCCUGAGCAGCUGCAUCACUGCCUGGUUCGAAAAUUGCACCAUCUCGGAUCGCAAGACCCUGCAGCGGAUAGUGAGGUCAGCUGAGAAGAUCAUUGGGGUCUCUCUUCCUGCCAUCACGGGCAUUUACACUACUCACUGCAUCCGCAAAGCAAACAGCAUUAUGAAGGACCCCACGCACCACUCAUACAAACUCUUCUCCCUCCUGCCGUCUGGGAAAAGGUACCGACGCAUUCGGGCUCUCACGACCAGACUAUGUAACAGUUUCUUCCCCUAAGCUAUCAGACUCCUCAAUACCCAGAGCCUGGACUGACACCUUACUGCCCUUUUGUCUUGUUUAUUAUUUAUUGUAAU